rnacentral:rRNA from 1 species
GACGAACGCUGGCGGCGUGCUUAACACAUACAAGUCGAACGGAAAGGCCCUGCUUUUGUGGGGUGCUCGAGUGGCGAAAGGGUGAGUAACACGUGAGUAACCUGCCCUUGACUUUGGGAUAACUUCAGGAAACUCUGGCUAAUCCCGGAUAGGAACUCCUGCUGCAUGGUGGGGGUUGGAAAGUUUCGGCGGAUGGGGAUGGACUCGCGGCUUAUCAGCUUGUUGGUGGGGUAGUGGCUUACCAAGGCUUUGACGGGUAGCCGGCCUGAGAGGGUAACCGGCCACAUUGGGACUGAGGGACGGACCAGACUCCUACGGGAGGCAGCAGUGGGGAAUAUUGCACAAUGGGCGGACGCCUGAUGGAGCACCGCCGCGUGCGGGAUGACGGCCUUCGGGUUGUAAACCGCUUUCGCCUGUUACGAAGCGUGAGUGACGGUAAUGGGUAAAGAAGCACCGGCUAACUACGU